GGAACAAAAUUUGUUAAAACACUCAUACAUAACACUAUACCCCUCGUACUCACUGCUAAACAGCAAAACGGGCUGCCACAUACAAUUAAAGGGACCAAGGAGAGAGAAAGAGAAAAACAUGCUGAAUUGGGGUAAAUGAGAGGUACCUGGCUAUUGCUUGAUAAGCCAAAGAUUCUUUCCACUUUACCUCUUGAGCGAGUCGGAAACUAUUUCGUUACGAUAAAAUCAAAGCCGUGAUAUAGUGGAAUUUUGACUUAGAGUCUACUGAAAGCGAAUCAGGACCCAAGGGUGCAAGUUCUCACCCACGACCACGUGAAGUACCAGAGCGAAUUGGUUAGCUACGGGCCGAAUCUCGCCGGAGACUCCAGCUCGCGAAAUCUGUGGGUUUUAGAGGUCGGAUUAAUCCUUGAUCCUUUGGAGAACGCCCAUAGACACAGAUCGCCGGAUUGUAAGGAUAUACCAGGCAGUUGUGGCAGAUAACCCCCAAGCCAUUGUGUGACGAUCAGGCCAUCCUCAGAAGCAAGUUCACGACGUCUUCUGCGUCUACCAGGCACGUUGAAUCCCUCUCUGCAUGUUAUUGGGACCAACCAUCCAAAGCGUCGCGGAAAACCACCCCAGCAGGACUUUCCUGCCGAUUUGAGUGGAAUACACCUAGUCUUCAUUCCCAGCAACACGUAAUCCCCCUCAUGUGGCAGACCCCAUCGAGAGCAGCGCAUCAUCACCAAAAGGCCGGCCCAACGACACACUAUACAGACACACAUGCAUGUAAGUUAGGAAAUAAAAGGUUAAAUGAUAA
rnacentral:lncRNA from 1 species